CAGCAGCCACGGGAAUACGGAGGGGGCUAGCGUUGUUCGGAAUUACUGGGCGUAAAGGGCGUGUAGGCGGCCUGGGGCGUCCCAUGUGAAAGGCCACGGCUCAACCGUAGAGGAGCGUGGGAUACGCUCAGGCUAGAGGGUGGGAGAGGGUGGUGGAAUUCCCGGAGUAGCGGUGAAAUGCGCAGAUACCGGGAGGAACGCCGAUGGCGAAGGCAGCCACCUGGUCCACUUCUGACGCUGAGGCGCGAAAGCGUGGGGAGCAAACCGGAUUAGAUACCCGCGUAGUCCCUGUCUCUUAUAC
rnacentral:rRNA from 1 species